CCUGACGCAGCUACCAUGCAGUCGAGCGGUAGCACAGAGAGCUUGCUCUCGGGUGACGAGCGGCGGACGGGUGAGUAAUGUCUGGGAAACUGCCUGAUGGAGGGGGAUAACUACUGGAAACGGUAGCUAAUACCGCAUAACGUCGCAAGACCAAAGUGGGGGACCUUCGGGCCUCAUGCCAUCAGAUGUGCCCAGAUGGGAUUAGCUAGUAGGUGGGGUAACGGCUCACCUAGGCGACGAUCCCUAGCUGGUCUGAGAGGAUGACCAGCCACACUGGAACUGAGACACGGUCCAGACUCCUACGGGAGGCAGCAGUGGGGAAUAUUGCACAAUGGGCGCAAGCCUGAUGCAGCCAUGCCGCGUGUGUGAAGAAGGCCUUCGGGUUGUAAAGCACUUUCAGCGGGGAGGAAGGCGGUGAGGUUAAUAACCUUGCCGAUUGACGUUACCCGCAGAAGAAGCACCGGCUAACUCCGUGCCAGCAGCCGCGGUAAUACGGAGGGUGCAAGCGUUAAUCGGAAUUACUGGGCGUAAAGCGCACGCAGGCGGUCUGUCAAGUCGGAUGUGAAAUCCCCGGGCUCAACCUGGGAACUGCAUUCGAAACUGGCAGGCUAGAGUCUUGUAGAGGGGGGUAGAAUUCCAGGUGUAGCGGUGAAAUGCGUAGAGAUCUGGAGGAAUACCGGUGGCGAAGGCGGCCCCCUGGACAAAGACUGACGCUCAGGUGCGAAAGCGUGGGGAGCAAACAGGAUUAGAUACCCUGGUAGUCCACGCCGUAAACGAUGUCGAUUUGGAGGUUGUGCCCUUGAGGCGUGGCUUCCGGAGCUAACGCGUUAAAUCGACCGCCUGGGGAGUACGGCCGCAAGGUUAAAACUCAAAUGAAUUGACGGGGGCCCGCACAAGCGGUGGAGCAUGUGGUUUAAUUCGAUGCAACGCGAAGAACCUUACCUGGUCUUGACAUCCACAGAACUUAGCAGAGAUGCUUUGGUGCCUUCGGGAACUGUGAGACAGGUGCUGCAUGGCUGUCGUCAGCUCGUGUUGUGAAAUGUUGGGUUAAGUCCCGCAACGAGCGCAACCCUUAUCCUUUGUUGCCAGCGGUUAGGCCGGGAACUCAAAGGAGACUGCCAGUGAUAAACUGGAGGAAGGUGGGGAUGACGUCAAGUCAUCAUGGCCCUUACGACCAGGGCUACACACGUGCUACAAUGGCAUAUACAAAGAGAAGCGACCUCGCGAGAGCAAGCGGACCUCAUAAAGUAUGUCGUAGUCCGGAUUGGAGUCUGCAACUCGACUCCAUGAAGUCGGAAUCGCUAGUAAUCGUAGAUCAGAAUGCUACGGUGAAUACGUUCCCGGGCCUUGUACACACCGCCCGUCACACCAUGGGAGUGGGUUGCAAAAGAAGUAGGUAGCUUAACCUUCGGGAGGGCGCUUAC
rnacentral:rRNA from 1 species